AGAGUUUGAUCCUGGCUCAGGGUUAACGCUGGCGGCGUGCCUAAUACAUGCAAGUCGAACGGAAAAUAUAUAGAUGCUUGCAUUUAGAUAUUUUUAGUGGCGAACGGGUGAGUAAUAUAUAGAUAACCUACCUUUAAGUUGGGGAUAACAGAGGGAAACUUUUGCUAAUACCGAAUAAAAUAAUUAGACGCAUGUUUAAUUAUUAAAAGGGGCUCCAAAGCCCCGCUCGAAGAGGGGUCUAUAUCGCAUUAGCUAGUUGGUAAGAUAACAGCCUACCAAGGCGAUGAUGCGUAGCUGUACUGAGAGGUAGAACAGCCACAUUGGGACUGAGAUACGGCCCAAACUCCUACGGGAGGCAGCAGUAGGGAAUUUUCGGCAAUGGGGGGAACCCUGACCGAGCAAUGCCGCGUGAUUGAAGAAGGUCUUCGGAUCGUAAAGAUCUGUUAUUAGGGAAGAAUGGAAUUGAUAGGAAAUGAUCAAUUUAUGACGGUGCCUAAUGAGGAAGCCCCGGCUAACUAUGUGCCAGCAGCCGCGGUAAUACAUAGGGGGCGAGCGUUAUCCGGAAUUAUUGGGCGUAAAGGGUACGUAGGCGGGCCUGCAAGUCUGAUUUGAAAGCACACGGCUUAACCGUGUGAGGUAAUUAGAAACUACGGGUCUAGAGAGUGGUAGAGGUAAAUGGAAUUCCAAGUGGAGCGGUGAAAUGCGUAGAUAUAUGGAGGAACACCAGUGGCGAAGGCGGUUUACUGGGCCACAUCUGACGCUGAUGUACGAAAGCGUGGGGAGCAAACAGGAUUAGAUACCCUGGUAGUCCACGCC
rnacentral:rRNA from 1 species